rnacentral:tRNA from 1 species
GUUGGAUGGCCGAGCUGGUUAUGGCGCCAGGUUAAGGUUACCUUAACACCAAUUUCCUGGUCACGAAAGUGGCGUGGGUUCGAGUACGUUUCUCCAACA